rnacentral:rRNA from 1 species
AUUGAGUUUGAUCCUGGCUCAGGACGAACGCUGGCGGCAUGCCUCACACAUGCAAGUCGAACGGAGUUUAGCUUUAAGCUUGCUUUUAGCUAAACUUAGUGGCGGACGGGUGAGUAACACGUGGGCAACCUGCCCUAUAGCCUGGGAUACCAUCGGGAAACUGAUGUUAAUACCGGAUAAGCUUUGAGAAUCGCAUGGUACUUAAAGGAAAGAUUUAUCGCUAUAGGAUGGGCCCGCGUUCCAUUAGCUAGUUGGUAAGGUAACGGCUUACCAAGGCGACGAUGGAUAGCUGGUCUGAGAGGACGAUCAGCCACACUGGGACUGAGACACGGCCCAGACUCCUACGGGAGGCAGCAGUGGGGGAUAUUGCGCAAUGGGGGGAACCCUGACGCAGCAAUGCCGCGUGAAGGAUGAAGGCCUUCGGGUCGUAAACUUCUGUCUAGAGGGAUGAAAUUUUGACAGUACCUCUGGAGGAAGCCCCGGCUAACUACGUGCCAGCAGCCGCGGUAAAAU